rnacentral:sRNA from 1 species
GGCUGGCUUCCAACUCACAGAGAUGCACUUUUCCUGUCUCCUUAGUGCAGAUACUAAAGGCACGUGUUAAAGUUCCCAGCGGACAUAGGGUUUGAACUUCGAAAAGGACCCUGAAAUCGUGGUCUUCUAGCCUUCACCUCUCAUCUCACGCUGGGAAAACAAGCCUGCACCAUCACAGCCAGUCAAACCACCAGUUUCUUAUAGUGUGUCUGCUGAGGGGACUCUCGGCCGUCUUCUCUGGGUCCCUUAUCUAGAACUAGCGAAGGACUUAGUUCUGUCUACAACAGCAGAUAAGAGUGAAAAAAGUUUACAAAGUAUCAAUUUUGGAAGACCUUUAGAUAGCAAGGAGGCAGGCAGCUCCCGCCCCCGCCUCCCUACUGAGAGCACAAAAGAGAGGCAAGCCCAGCAAGUACUUUCAAUUUCCGGAAGGUAUUAGAGGACAACAAAAGAGAUCAAGCCCGGAGGCUCAGGGAUGAAAGUGAUGAAAGGCCAGGAGAACAAGAGGAUUUGAUAAGGUUGGUAGGCAGUGGCAUACCCAGGAUCAUAUUCUUUAAUCUCUUCCUGGGGAGAGGGUAGAGCAUCCCUUUAAUCCCAGAACUCAGGAGGCAGAGGCAGGAGGAUUAGAAAUUCAAAGUAAUGUUGGAAAUGUGGCUUGGUCUGCAUUGCUCUUGCAAGGACCUACGUUCGUUCGUUCGGUUCCCAGCGUCCAAGCCUGGCGUCUCACAACCAUCUGCAACUCUAUUUCUAGGGGAUCGGAUGCCUCUGGUCUCUAAGGGCACCUGCAUUCGUGUGCACACACUUAUGUACAUACCUAUAAUUAAAACUAAAAUGUGAAACUUAAAAAAAAUAUUUCCAAGAACCAGGUUUGGUGCUUCAGGCCUUUAAUACCACCAUCUAGAAGGCAGGCAGGCGGAGACAGGCAGGCGGAGGCAGGCAGAUCUCUGUGAGUUUGAAACCAGUUUGGCCUAUAGAGUUCUAAGACAGCCAGGACAGCAUAGUGAGGUCCUGUGUUAAAACUAAAUUAAAUUAAAAUUUAAAAGAUUAAAACGUUGAAAGCCAACCUCUACUAGAUAGUGAAUUGGAGGCCAGCCUGGGCUACCUGUGAUCCUGUAAAAAACAGAAAACCAAGAGAUGCCUGAAUGAAGUCCAGGUUCCAUGGGAAAGACUGCAGGGGUAGAUUAGUGAUUCCUAACACCAAUGGGGAUUUGAAGUUGGUAUUGUGUUUAAUUGAUGUUCAUCUCUCUUUGACAAACUGCAUUUUGAGGUCCUUCCCAGACAGCCCCAUGCUCAGAGUACAGUCCUUCCCAGACAGCCCCAUGCUCAGAGUGCCCAGACUGAGACCUACUCCUGUGUCUGGUGGCCAUCAGACUCAUCCCAAAGGCAAGUCUUAAUUCCAAAGGGGGAGUAAUUUUAAUUAUCUACUGAAACCAUAGACUGUCUCCAGCAGAGCAUGUGAUAAAUAUUUAAAUAUUCUUCACAUCUCUCAGAGCUCCUGAGAGAAAGAAAUGUCUGUGAACAAAGUAUUAAUUACAUACCCCAAAUCAUUCUUUUGAGAUAAAUUAUAUGUCGUAAUUACCAUACUUGACAGCCUUCCCUGACUGCAUAUUGCUCUACCCUCAGCUUGAAGCUGGUCCUGGUUGAUGGGUGUAGGCACAGGUUGUGGUGGCCCGAAGGGGCAGAGGACAUGCGUGUCCUGGUCACAGUUGCACAGUUCAGACUUCUCAGCUUCUCCAGCAUGCUCUCACACACAGGUUCUGUCUGAGUCCACUUAAAGUGUUCUGAGAAGAAGUGAGGUAGGGUGGCUCAAACCUGUAAUUCUAGCCCUCUGGAGACUGAGGCAGGAGGACUGCAUGUGUUUAAGGCCAGUCUGGACUAUUAUAAACAGCCUUGGCUAUAGAGUAAGACACUGUCUCAAAAAGGAGGGGGAAGGGAGUAACAAGAUGAUUCAUGUAAAGGUUUUGUCCUCUGACAGCAUCCUGUCCAAAAAAAAAAAAAAAAAAAAAAAAACAAAAA